AUGCUGCAACGAGAAGCAGGGCAGGGUAUCCCAGAGGUUGCGACUGAGAUGGAAGAGGGCCUCCAGUGCGGCAGCCAUGCCUUCCCUGGUGCGGGGUUCUGCUAUGGUGGUGCUCUUCGUGCGGCUUUUGAGGGCCUCCGGUGCCGUGGAUCUCCAGGAAGGGAGGGGAUAGGGUUCCCCUCCUCCGGUGGUUCCCUCUCCAGCUCGUCGAGGGAGCCAGAGCUUCUGAUUUUUUGGUCUUGGCCCUUGCUGUUGCCCUUCAUCCUGGCAGCUCACCCUCUUUCUCGCCCGAUCUUCGGUUUUGGGGCUGCUUGGCUCUAG
rnacentral:rRNA from 1 species